GUGGUUGUUUCGGCAGCACAAAAACUAAAAUUGGAACAAUACAGAGAGGAUUAGCAUGGCCCCUGUGCAAGGAUGACAUACAAAUUCAUGAAGCAUUCGUAGUAAAA
rnacentral:snRNA from 1 species